rnacentral:rRNA from 1 species
GACGAACGCUGGCGGCGUGCUUAACACAUGCAAGUCGAACGAAGUGGCGACCGGGUGAGUAACGCGUAAUCAACCUGCCCUUCAGAGGGGGACAACAGGUGGAAACGACUGCUAAUACCGCAUACUGAAGGAGGGGAUUGCGUCUGAUUAGCUAGUUGGAGGGGUAACGGCCGACCAGGGCGAAGAUCAGUAGCCGGGCUGAGAGGAUGAACGGGCAAAUUGGGAGUGGGACACGGCCCAGAAUCCUACGGGAGGCAGCAGUGGGGAAUCUUCCGCAAUGGACGAAAGUCUGACGGAGCAACGCCGCGUGAGGGGUGACGGCCUUCGGGUUGUAAAGCUCUGUUAAUCGGGACGCGGUACCGGAAGAGAAAGCCACGGCUAACUACGUGCCAGCAGCCGCGGUAAUUC